rnacentral:rRNA from 1 species
UAGGUUAACGAGGCGAACCGGGGGAACUGAAACAUCUAAGUACCCCGAGGAAAAGAAAUCAACCGAGAUUCCCCCAGUAGCGGCGAGCGAACGGGGAGCAGCCCAGAGUCUGAAUCAGCUUGUGUGUUAGUGGAACGGUCUGGAAAGUCCGACGGUACAGGGUGAUAGUCCCGUACACCAAAAUGCACAGGUUGUGAACUCGAAGAGUAGGGCGGGACACGUGGUAUCCUGUCUGAAUAUGGGGGGACCAUCCUCCAAGGCUAAAUACUCCUGACUGACCGAUAGUGAACCAGUACCGUGAGGGAAAGGCGAAAAGAACCCCGGCGAGGGGAGUGAAAAAGAACCUGAAACCGUGUACGUACAAGCAGUGGGAGCACCUUCGGGUGUGACUGCGUACCUUUUGUAUAAUGGGUCAGCGACUUAUAUUCUGUAGCAAGGUUAACCGUAUAGGGGAGCCGCAGGGAAACCGAGUCUUAACUGGGCGUUAAGUUGCAGGGUAUAGACCCGAAACCCGGUGAUCUAGCCAUGGGCAGGUUGAAGGUUGGGUAACACUAACUGGAGGACCGAACCGACUAAUGUUGAAAAAUUAGCGGAUGACUUGUGGCUGGGGGUGAAAGGCCAAUCAAACCGGGAGAUAGCUGGUUCUCCCCGAAAGCUAUUUAGGUAGCGCCUCGUGAACUCAUCUUCGGGGGUAGAGCACUGUUUCGGCUAGGGGGUCAUCCCGACUUACCAACCCGAUGCAAACUACGAAUACCGAAGAAUGUUAUCACGGGAGACACACGGCGGGUGCUAACGUCCGUCGUGAAGAGGGAAACAACCCAGACCGCCAGCUAAGGUCCCAAAGUCAUGGUUAAGUGGGAAACGAUGUGGGAAGGCACAGACAGCCAGGAUGUUGGCUUAGAAGCAGCCAUCAUUUAAAGAAAGCGUAAUAGCUCACUGGUCGAGUCGGCCUGCGCGGAAGAUGUAACGGGGCUAAACCAUGCACCGAAGCUGCGGCAGCGACACUAUGUGUUGUUGGGUAGGGGAGCGUUCUGUAAGCCUGCGAAGGUGUGCUGUGAGGCAUGCUGGAGGUAUCAGAAGUGCGAAUGCUGACAUAAGUAACGAUAAAGCGGGUGAAAAGCCCGCUCGCCGGAAGACCAAGGGUUCCUGUCCAACGUUAAUCGGGGCAGGGUGAGUCGACCCCUAAGGCGAGGCCGAAAGGCGUAGUCGAUGGGAAACAGGUUAAUAUUCCUGUACUUGGUGUUACUGCGAAGGGGGGACGGAGAAGGCUAUGUUAGCCGGGCGACGGUUGUCCCGGUUUAAGCAUGUAGGCUGGUUGUCCAGGCAAAUCCGGAUAAUCAAGGCUGAGGUGUGAUGACGAGGCACUACGGUGCUGAAGUAACAAAUGCCCUGCUUCCAGGAAAAGCCUCUAAGCAUCAGGUAACAUCAAAUCGUACCCCAAACCGACACAGGUGGUCAGGUAGAGAAUACCAAGGCGCUUGAGAGAACUCGGGUGAAGGAACUAGGCAAAAUGGUGCCGUAACUUCGGGAGAAGG